CAUCUGAUCUUGCUAGCUCAGCAGGGCCAGGCCUGGUUAGUACUUGAAUGGGAGUGAGGCACAGUUUCUAGAGGGAAACUGUACUACCUGCCUGACACCCACCAAGAUACUGAGAUAGUCUCAGCAAAGCAUCCCUGGGGCCCUUCCUGUGGAGGUAGCAAUACACGAGAAGCACUUCCUGGUGAAUGACCAGAGUUAUUAGUGAGCACAUGUGAUAAACUCCCCAAGACUCUGAGAAAAUACGUGAGGAAGCUUUAGAUGGAGCUCAAGUAUUGGAUAGAGCUGCUUGAGUCAGAGUCAAACUUUUUUGGAGGAGGGGAAAUCUUGGAUUGAGAGCGUGACUGACACAGGCACCCAUCCUUGUCUCUGCUCCAGAUUACAGGAAUCUCUGAUGUCUCAGCCAAGAAGUGUAUCACAUUGACACCAACUUAACUCAUGACUGCAGGCUGGCUUUCCAAUCCAUUAGUGCCCUCCACAAGUCAAGUGUUGGACCACAGGAAAUGAAGAAGUAGAGCUUUGGUUUACAUAUGUUGACGUGAACAACUCAGUUGCACCCGUUAUGAGAGUAACUGCUCAGCUCAUGAUGAGUGAAUAGGUCAUCCAGCAAGAAACAGAAAACACAGAAAUGGACCUUCUUUGGGAGCAGGGUAGCAAGGUGCUGACAGCUUAAUGAAUGACUUGUCUGUUAUGACAGUAGGACACCUAGCAAUGCCAAGAGCAAAUAUUUGAAAGAAUAUGCAAUGCAGGAAAUGUAUGUAUGUUCUAUAUAUAGGACACUUAGAUUGCCUUUAUCACUAACAGAUGGGCAGCAUUUGAGAAAUCUUAUUUUAUAAUGUGCAACAUCACUCCUGUCAGAUACACUUUGAGAUCUGGGGAUUAAUGGAGCAUGGCACGCAGAGUAAAAUGGGAAUUCCAUGGUAUGUACUGAGGGAUUGGGGGUUUUAGGGAUAGAUGAGCUCAACAGAGAAUAUUGUCCCUAUUUUUUACAGGUAUAACUCCGAUUUCAUUUAUAAUUUAAUAAUAAACAGCUGCAGACGCCAUGUCAGAUGAAAUACGUAAGUAGAUAAUUUUGUGAUGUGUCUUUGGAUAAUAUUAAAUAGUGAAACCAUGGCUAAAGGAGCCAAGUGAUUAGAUGGAUGAGGAGUUUACUUUUUCUUUCUAAACCAAGAAAUCUAUCAACAUCAAUUUUGAAGGGCAAUAAAAUGAGUUAGCUUGCAAAAAAUGAUAUUAUUUAUAAAUGGACUCACUUUGGAGCUAAGACUCAGAUAAUUAUAUCAAUCAAUCAACUGAGAUAGGUGACUGAGAGAUGGUUCUUUUAUUUUUAUUUAUCUAUUUAUUUAUUUAUUUUUUGAGAUGGAAUCUCACUUUGUUGCCCAGGCUGGAGUGCAGUGGCACAAUCUCGGCUUACUGCAACAUCCGCCUCCUGGGUUCAAGUGAUUCUCCUGUCUCAGCCUCCCCAGUAGCUGGGACUACAGGCACGUGCCACUUAAUUUUUUGUAUUUUUAGUAGAGGCAGGGCUUCACUGUGUUUGCCAGGAUGGUCUCGAUCUCCUGACCUCGUAAUCUGCCCUCCUUGGCCUCCCAAAGUGCUGGGAUUACAGGAGUGAGCCACUGCGCCUGGCGGAGAGAUGGUUCCUGAAUAGAUUCUGACACUCUUAUUCACUCUGGUAUGGUCUCUUGCAAAUACAUUUGUUAACCAUAGUAAAUAAGCAUGGAGACAAAAUUAGGCCCACCAUCUAUUAGACAUUAAUGGCCAAUUUGAAGUCUCGUGGUUAACAAACAUAUGUACUGUAGACUAGAUUCUGAGAUAUUUCUUAUUACAGAGGUCAAGAAGAGGAUGGGUAACCGGUAAAUACUUGAACCCUCCAGUUAUUCAUUGAAAUUUCAUGAGUGCCAACUCAUUAGACAGAUCCUAUCAUAGACAAGCCUCGCUCUCUCCUCAUCACUGUGUUCACCCCCACUCAUCAUUCAUUAGUUUUUACUGGCAAAUGGCUCAGUACCAGGUGCUUUGCUGCAUGUGCUAGUGAAUAGCAUAUUGCCUUUAGAAAUGCUCUGUGUCAAAAUUCUAAAAGAAAAAAUAUAUGGAUUACUGUUCUUAGCUUUCCAUUCAUUCUCUAGCAACUCUGUUAACAUCAUGGGCUUCUCAGAGCAUGGCUGAGGAGGCAUUUCUUCCAGCCACACAACAAUUCCACAGACAUAAAGAAGGGCCCAAGCUAGUAAGAUCUCACAUGAAACUGGUAAAAUAUAGGUUUGCCACAGCUGUUGUUAGGUCACUUUCUCUGUGCAGUCAAGUCUCAACAUCUGGUGCAAACUACUUGGCUGAGGCAACAGAAUGGUAUCUGGCUUUCAAAUCAUCAAGGCACAAUCACUUGGCCUCACGAAGUGAUCUAAUUAGAUAAGAGAUCUCAACACUAUUGAAACAUGGUUACUAUGAUGUUUGCAAUAUAAUAGGUCUCUAUAGUUCAGGCUAACUGGCCUCAGCCUAAAGGUUUAUCUAUCUUUUAGUCGUUUUUUCAAUAUAUGCCUUAAGUAAACUAUCACAAACAAAAUUGACCACAUAAAUAAGCAUAAAAUAAAUUUUAUGUAAAAAAAUGUGGUUCUUCCUUUCUCACUGUGAGCCUUAACUCUCUGCAAGAAAUAGCUCUGCCACAGCAUUAUCUCAGAGCCCCGCAAUGGAGCCCUACCUGACUCUUCACGUUAUCCCUGUGGGUUUACCUGGUCAGUCCCUGGGUAUUGUCAAUUAUUUAUGAAUAUUGCCUCUCAUUUCUAUUCUCUCUGGUUUCAUUCCAGGUCAGGUCUUCAUAAUCAGGGGCUUAAUCAACAUUAUAUAUGGUAUAUUUAUUUAAACAUUGAAGACUCUUGUUUGUUAGAGAACAUCAUGGUAUAAGUAAGUCUCUUGUUUGCAAUUCAGCUGAAUGAAGACUUCAGCCAUAUGUCUAUAUAGAUAAACACUAUGGCAAGUGAGAGUCUGAGAUGAUAGGGCUCUCCCAUGGUGAAAGGGUUUGUUGGCUCUCAAAAGAUGGCAGCAGCAUAGAGCUGGAAAUAGAGGUGUAAUGUUAGAGACAGUGGUUCUCCCACAGUGUCCCCUGUAAUAAUAGUUGUAAAUUAUUCUCUUCUUUUUGCCUCCCUUAGGUUGAGCCUGAACAAAAAAACUAUAAAUAUAUGAACACGGUCAAAUGACAGGCAAUAUAUUUUGCAAACUUAUGGGAGGGAAAGAGCUAAUUUUCUUAAUUUAAAAAACUUACUCAUACAAGUCACUGAAAUAAAAGAAAAUCAUCCAGUAGAAAUAUGGCCAAGGCACAGGAACAGAUAGCUCCCAUGGAUUUAAAGAUAAAUUGAACUCAAAGAGGAAAGUGUCCCAAAUCAAAAUUAAAACAACUAUACAUUUUUAUUUUCUUAUAAAUUAGUAAGGAUCAGAAAGUGUAGUGUUAGAAGGUGCAGAACUAUACUCACAUGUUGCAGGGAAUAUAAACUUUUAUGAAGUACAAUUUGUCAAAAGCUAUAAAAAUUUAAAUAGACAUAUUUUGGUAAAGAAUUCCACUUGGCUAUAGACUAGAUGUGCAUGGAAACAUAUGUACGAGAAUGUAUAGGUAUUAUUGCUUAUGAGUUUAAAAGACUAAGAAACAACCUGAACAUCCAGCAAUAGGGGAUUUAUAAAUAAAUGGUAACUCCCUUGAAUGAAAUAGUAUGCAGUUUCAGCUGUCAAAAAGAAGAAGGAGGCUCUGUACAUACCAAGAGAAACUGACUGACUUCCACGAUAAGGUGAAAAAUGCAAAAUACUGAAUAGCGUGUAUAAAAUUCAAGUUGUGUUAAAAAGGAAAUGUAUUACCAAUUUUAGCAUAUGCCCAUAUUAUCCAUGGAUGUUUACACAAAAACUUGGUAAUAGUGUGACUGCAUCUUGGGUGCAGAAGCAAGGGGCUAGAAGUCAUUGGCAGAAAGAAAACAUAAUUUUCACUGAAUACUUAUUUGUUGCCUUUAAAAUGUUCACGUUUGAAUGUAUUUAUGUAACCUUUCAAAAAAUUGAAAUAUAUAUGUACAAUGCAUGUAUAUUUUAUAUAUUAAUAUAGUGCAUAUUUAUUACAAAUUAUAUAUGAUAAUAUACAAUUAAUAAAAUGCACGUAAAAUAAAAAACUCUCAGCCUUUUCCAUGGUGUCACUUGGAGGUAUCACAAAGUGUCUGAUUCAUGCUGGGAAUAACGUGACAAAGGGAGGAGAAUCAGAAGCAUGUGGAAAUACCUUUCAGCUACAGUAGCUCUUGAGAGAACAGAACUCAAUCGGCAGGACAAAGACCAGAAAUUCACAGUCACAUGGUGAUAGAGAUGGCAAGCAGUAACCUGAUAAGCUUACACAUGUGGUGGCUUCAUUUAAGCCUUCUCAGAAACCAUAGUUGGAGAAAGAAAAACUUUCGUGAAAGUCUUUUCAUGUUUUGCAGUUAAGCUAGAUGAAGACUGAAAUCAUUGUUUACAAUUAAUGCUUGUAUGCCCCAUUUUGUAAACAUCGCUGGAAAUAAUAAGUACUCUCCUAAAAGCAGGAGGUGCAGGCAUGCUAAAAUGAGCCUGGCUCAACAGAGGCCAACCAAGAAUUUGGAGGGAACGGGGCUGUUGUCUUCCAGAUAACAAGUCACAUGUUGUCAUCCAGUUUAUCUAAUUGUAUAGUGCCCUCUGAGUUUAUGCCCCCUUAUGUAUGUUAAAUUCUGUCUAAUUAUGCAGUCAUAUUGUUUUUCAAAAUUCAAAAUAUCUUUAUGUUUCUGUAAGGGUCUGUGCUUGACACAUGUCCCUGCCUGUUGAAAUGACCAUUUUAAAAUUCCCUUUUCUACAGUGCUCAGUAUUAAGAAAAAUGUGGAGAAACUGUACUGGCAUACAAUUUAUCUAUUUACAAUUCACCUAAAGUUUAGGAAGAAAGGAAUCUGAUC